GAUGAAGAACGCAGCGAAAUGCGAUACUUGGUGUGAAUUGCAGAAUCCCGUGAACCAUCGAGUCUUUGAACGCAAGUUGCGCCCGAAGCCAUUAGGCCGAGGGCACGCCUGCCUGGGUGUCGCACAUCGUUGCCCCAAUGCCUCAGCCCUGUUGCAAGGCAUGGCAAAGGGGCGAAUGUUGGCUUCCCGCGAGCGAUGCCCUCACGGUUGGCUGAAAAUCGAGUCCGUGGUGGAGUGUGCCGCGAUGGAUGGUGGUUGAGUGAUGAUGCUCGGGACCAAUCAUGGGUAACUCCACCAGAAUUGGGCUCGGUGACCCACAUGCGUCCCUUGGAUGCUCCCUAAGGAGACCUCAGGUCAGGCGGGGCUACCCGUUGAGUUUAAGCAUAUCAAUAAGCGGAGGA
rnacentral:misc_RNA from 1 species